rnacentral:rRNA from 1 species
UACGUAGGGGGCAAGCGUUGUCCGGAUUUAUUGGGCGUAAAGGCUCGUAGGUGGCCAACUAAGUCAGACGUGAAAUCCCUCAGCUUAACUGGGGAACUGCGUCUGAUACUGGAUGGCUUGAGUUUGGAGAGGGAUGCGGAAUUCCAGGUGUAGCGGUGAAAUGCGUGAGAUAUCUGGAGGAACACCGGUGGCGAAGGCGGCAUCCUGGACCAACACUGACACUGAGGAGCGAAAGCCAGGGGAGCAAACGGG